UCCUGGGUAGUAUAGUGGGAAUUACACGCUGCCAUGAGAUACGCUAUGAUUAGCGACUGCGAGACCGGGGUUCAAAUCCUUGUCCGGGAG
rnacentral:tRNA from 1 species